rnacentral:lncRNA from 1 species
AUAUAUAUAGUGAGACUACUAUGCUUUUGGAAACACGGAGUCAUCCGUGUUUCUAGAUCGUUUUCUAUGUUGCGGCUUUCGAAUCGUCGAUCGGCUUCGUUAAACUUGAUCUAGAGUAUUUGAAGUACCUAGUAAAAAAAUUAUGCGAUUUUUCAAUAUUAUUUACCUAGUGAACGAAGGGGUUCAAAAUCAACGGCUAAAAAUAAAAAUCUUACAAAACGUGAUAAUAUGACAAUAAAAUUUUAGAUCAAAGAUAUUGAUCUUGUUUUAUAUAGUAUAAAGAAUUUUCUAUCAAGAUUUCACGUGAUUUGAAUAUUUCUACACCGUUAAACUUGCAAACGGCUAACUACAGCCAUUAAAAUUAUUGAUUUUGAGCCCCUUCGAUCACUAGACAAAUGAUAUCGAAAAAUUAUAAAAUUUAUUUUCUAGAUACUUCAAAUACUCUAGAUCAAGUUUAACAGACCCGAUCGACGAUUCGAAAAUCGCAACAUCGAAAAUGACAUGAAAGCACGAAAGGCUCCAUGCUUCCAAAAGCAUAGUAGCCUCACACUAUAUAUAUAUAAAGAGAGAGAGAGUUGAGAUAGAAUACUUCGAAAAGCACGAAAAAUGUGGUGCUUUUGAGUUUUUAGCCUUUGGAUAAAAAAAUGUAGGAUUGGAAUGAUGGUGGUAGGUGGUGAUAGGAGGAAUAAUGUUUGAUCCAAAGGCUAUUAAUAAUCAAGGAGUAGAUCCAAUGGCUAAAAAUUUAGAAGCACCAAGGAGAUGGUGCUUCUAAGAGUAUUCUAGCUCAAUUCUUUAUAUAUAUAUAUAGAGAGAGAGAGAGAUAGUUCGGCUGGAAUACUAUCUUGUGCUAUCGAGUUUUCCACUGUUAGAUUUAACCCUUUGAUUAUUUUAACCCGUUAGAUUAUACUAUUCAAAUACUGUUCAACCAACCACUCACUCGACCCUAGGGAGCCGACAUCAUCUUAACCAUAUAUUUUUCAAUCCAAUGAUUAAAAAACUAAUAGUACCAAUAGUUUGGUGCUAUUAAAUUUUCGACCUUUAGAUUAAAAGAUAUGCGGUUAGGAUGAUGUGGGCCCUCAGUGUUGAGUGAGUGAUUAGUUGAACAGUAUAAUCGAACGGAUGAAAAUAAUAAAAGAGAUAAAUCUAACGACAGAAAAUUUGAUAGCUCCAAAUAUUUUGUGCUAUCGAUUGUAUCCCAAUCGGACUAUAUAUAUAUCUGUGUUUCGGGUGACCGGACGAGGAGUUUGGAG